GGGGGUGUAGCUCAGUUGGUAGAGCGUUUGAAUGGCAUUCAACAGGCCAGGGGUUCGAUUCCCCUCACCUCCA
rnacentral:tRNA from 1 species